GAUACGGGGAUGCACGCCCUGGCACUGCCCCGUUGUCCCCAGAGGAAGUCGAGCCGCGCCAAGGAGAAGAAGCAGCGGCGGCUGGAGGAGCGCGCGGCCAUGGCCGCGGUGUGUGCCCGCGUGGAGGCUGCCAACCAGCUCCGCGACCCCCUCGAGGCCUUCCCGGUCUUCAAGAAGUACGACAGGAACGGGCUGAACGUGUCCACCGAGUGCUGCCGUGUCCC